UAGACAGAUUAUUGUAUUCGACUGUAUUCAUGAUAUGUAUCUGUGAAUACAGUAAUAUAAAUAGCGCAAUUCAUGGUCUAUUCAACUGUUUUUAAACAGAAAUUGAAUCAAUUAACAUAAUAGACUCCU
rnacentral:pre_miRNA from 1 species